rnacentral:rRNA from 2 species
CAGAGUGACAGGUGGUGCAUGGUUGUCGUCAGCUCGUGUCGUGAGAUGUUGGGUUAAGUCCCGCAACGAGCGCAACCCUUGAUCUUAGUUGCCAGCAUUCAGUUGGGCACUCUAAGAUGACUGCCGGUGACAAACCGGAGGAAGGUGGGGAUGACGUCAAAUCAUCAUGCCCCUUAUGACCUGGGCUACACACGUGCUACAAUGGACGGUACAAAGGGCAGCGAGACCGCGAGGUUUAGCCAAUCCCAUAAAACCGUUCUCAGUUCGGAUUGUAGGCUGCAACUCGCCUACAUGAAGCUGGAAUCGCUAGUAAUCGCGGAUCAGCAUGCCGCGGUGAAUACGUUCCCGGGCCUUGUACACACCGCCCGUCACACCACGAGAGUUUGUAACACCCGAAGUCG